UUCUCGUAGGUUUCUUUCUCAAGCAGAGCAGUUUCCAUAAUUUUUUUCAAAUGGGAUCUGGGUUUUCAAAUUUUCUUCCUUUCAUAGUGUAGCUCUCCAUUUACACUGCGGAAGGAAGGAAAUUUGAAAACCUAAAAUCCCAUUUGACAAAAAAUAAUUAUGGAAACUGCUCUGCUUGAGAAAGAAAACGACCGAGAACCAAGAUAUCGCUCCUUACCUGAACAAUAAUGGUGCUCUCGUGAACAGAGCUAAAAGCAACGCGACCGACACAUAGAGAGAGAGAGAGAGAGAGAGAGAGAGAAAGAAAGAGGCAGGAGCUUAGCAGGGGAUUCAUAAGAUUUCUUUGGUUGAUGUGAAGAUACUAACCGGCGGUAGAAAAUUAUAUGUGCGGUCUGUAAAUUAUUUGUACCGUGUGGAAGGAUGCCCACCUGCCUCCUGCAGAGUAGAGGCCUCGCUUUCCCAUGUCUGGAUUCAGGCUCAUUGCUGAGUGGGAGAAUCCAGGACUCAUGCCGAGGGCACAAACGUUCUCCAUUUUUGAGUGCAGUCAUAGAUGAGAUGAGCAGCCGUCAUGGUUUGAUGAAUUAGUUGGUGAAUCUGAAAGGGGUCUCAGUGGAAGUCUCCAUCGACGCUCUUGUAGUGAUUCUGCUACAUUUUCAGAACCUCCAACAGCCCUUUCACUGUUAAAAUCAUUGCAGAGUGACAAAGCUUAUUCACAGAAAGUUGGAUGAGUUAGCAAAAGAAUGUCCCAGCUAUAACAGGUUGGAUAGAAAGGAAGAUGUCCCAUCUUCCUAUGCUCACAUACUAAUGAUGAAACACCAAAAACAGAAAUGAGACCUCUUCUGCUAUUUCAUCUGGUUGCGUAUAUGGCCCCCAUUUUCCUAGAUUGAAGCCUGAUAUUGAAAGUCCCAUUGUAUCUGAAGAAUACAGAGGUGAGAUCCCACUCUCAUUGUUGGCUGACUAGAACAUCUAUCGUUUUGCCUCCGAAAUUCCAUUUAUAAUGCAAAAGAAAGUUCUGGCGGCACUGCCACUAA